CACCGCGGUUACACGGGAUAGCCCAAGUCGACAGCCCACGGCGUAAAGCGUGGUUAGGGCAAUAAUAACACUAAAGCCGAAUUCCCCUCUCGCUGUUAUACGCGCUCAGGAAUAAGAAGCUCAACUACGAAAGUGGCUUUAUUUAAACCCCUGAACCCACGAAAGUUUUGAUA
rnacentral:rRNA from 1 species